rnacentral:RNase_P_RNA from 1 species
GCGGAAGGCUGGACGGCCGCACCUGCAAGGGUGAGGAAAGUCCGGACUCAGCAAAGCAUCGGUGCCGGGUAACGCCCGGGCAGGGCAACCUGACGGAAAGCGCCACAGAAAACAAACCGCCCGCCAUGCCUGAGGUUCGCCAAGGGAUCACAUGGUGCGGUAAGGGUGAAACGGUGGGGUAAGAGCCCACCGGGGGGCUGGCAACAGUCCCCGCAUGGCAAGCCCCACCAAGGAGCAAUGCCAAAUAGGAACCUCGCGUUCGUCUGAUCCCCUUCGGGGGAUAUCGGGGCAGGGCAGCUUUGGCCUGAGAGGUUCGGGUUGGCAGCAAGAGCCAUGUGGCAACGCAUGGCCCAGAUGAAUGGUCGUCGAUCCUUAGGGCAACCGAAGGGGGACAAAAUCCGGCUUAUAGGCCUUCCGCGCGC